rnacentral:rRNA from 1 species
AGAACGAACGCUGGCGGCAUGCUUAACACAUGCAAGUUGAACGCAGAAUAGGACUUCGGUUCUAUUGCUGAGUAGCAAACGGGUGAGUAACGCGUGGGAAUCUGCCUUUUUGUGGGGGAUAACUGAGGGAAACUUCAGCUAAUACCGCAUAAGCUCUACGGAGGAAAGACUUCGGUCGCAAAAAGAGGAGCCCGCGUCAGAUUAGGUAGUUGGUAGGGUAAAAGCCUACCAAGCCAAUGAUCUGUAGCUGGUCUGAGAGGAUGAUCAGCCACACUGGGACUGAGACACGGCCCCAGACUCCUACGGGAGGCAGCAGUGGGGAAUAUUGGACAAUGGGGGAAACCCUGAUCCAGCAAUGCCGCGUGAAUGAAGAAGGCCUUAGGGUUGUAAGUCCUUUCGACGGGGAAGAUAAUGACGGUACCGUAGAAGAAGCCCCGGCUAACUUCGUGCCAGCAGCCGC